CCUACGGGCGGCAGCAGUGAGGAAUAUUGGUCAAUGGGCGAGAGCCUGAACCAGCCAAGUCGCGUGAAGGAUGACGGCCCUACGGGUUGUAAACUUCUUUUGUCAGGGAGCAAUUGGGUCCACGCGUGGGCUUAGCGAGAGUACCUGAAGAAAAAGCAUCGGCUAACUCCGUGCCAGCAGCCGCGGUAAUACGGAGGAUGCGAGCGUUAUCCGGAUUUAUUGGGUUUAAAGGGUGCGUAGGCGGAAUAUCAAGUCAGCGGUAAAAAUUCGGGGCUCAACCCCGUCGUGCCGUUGAAACUGAUGGUCUUGAGUGGGCGAGAGGUAGGCGGAAGGCGUGGUGUAGCGGUGAAAUGCAUAGAUAUCACGCAGAACUCCGAUUGCGAAGGCAGCAUACCGGCGCCCAACUGACGCUGAAGCACGAAAGCGUGGGUAUCGAACAGGAUUAGAUACCCUGGUAGUC
rnacentral:rRNA from 1 species